rnacentral:tmRNA from 1 species
GGGGAUGCAAGGCAUAGACAGUAGGCCUUUUGUUAUUGAUGCAUAUCGAGAAUGAACGUAAUCUCGUAAAAAUUCGUUCAUUAGCUUAAUUGCAAAAUUAGCUUCCAAAGUGAAAGCGGCAGUCUCUCCAUACUUCGGUAUGAAUGACUUUGCUUUCGCUUCAGUUUCCGCUUACGCGUAACUGAUGUCUCUCUUAUAGACUUCCGAUAUAUAAGAGCAGGCAUAAUAUUAUCGGGAUAGUUUCGACGACCGUUCCGCUGUCGGAGCAAAACAAAGGAACUCGAUUAAAAAAUAUUUGGCUCGUUUAAGAAUUUUUUAAUUUAAACAAAAAAGCGAGCUAUGUAUGUAGACUUCUUUACAAAAACCUUCUGCACGGGGGCUCAUUUCCCCCCAUCUCCACUG